rnacentral:lncRNA from 1 species
AUUGCCUAUGUGACUACUGACCAUGCUUCUCUUGUGGGAGCUGUGGGGAGCUGGCGGUAACUUAGGCAGGGGCCAGAGUUCCAGGAGCAUGAGGGAAUGCCUACCGUGUCAUGAAGGUGAAUUAUGACCAUCGGGGUUCAGACCUUAGCUCAACUGGAGACCAGCCUGCAAUUCCCCACAACAAGUCUUGCAGCUUGUGAGAGGAGAUGUACUUUGCUCAGCCCACAAUUAAUUAUUGAAGUCCAAGGCCUAGUGAAGUUGUAUGGUAAUCCAGAGAAUAUCAGAACGAGGCUGGCACUGAUCCAAGAAAAAGACAGCUGCAUUUCUCUCUCAGAAAGGAGUAUCAUGGAAGAGAGGAUGGAACACUGUAUGAGCCAAAGAACACCGAGGAGUGCUGCAAAAUGGUGUCUUCUGGACAAGACAGCAUGAGUAUCCAUUACCUCAUGACAGCUGUAUCUGUCUGAAUGGGUGGUGGUGGUGGUGGUGGGGUGAUGCUGAGCAUUUUCUGAUGAAAAGGGAAGGAAGAAAUAAAUGAAUUAUCGG